UCGUUGUUGCCCUCCCAGCUCUUCGUCUCAGCUCGUUGCGCCUAAAAAGGUAAAGUUAUCCGAAAUCACGAUUCUUUAUUCGAGUUCUGUUUUGGUAAAAUGAAAUAGAUUGUUGGUCUGGUUUCUUCUUUUUAAAAUGGUUUUUUUUUUCUUUUUCUUUUCUCUGUUCAUGGCUUUGUAUGUUGAAAGGUCGUUCCACCUUGAAUCAAUGCCUCUUAGUUGUUCAAAGUAAAAAUGAACCUCUUCUAGUAAACUAAAAGCUGAAAAUUCUAUGGUUUUGAACUCUAGCUUUCUCUUGAUUUUCACAUUUUUAUUCACUUUCUCUCUACGUUUUGGUUAUUCACUUUAGAUCGAUGUAGGCGAAGAUAGCUAAAAUAACUUUCGUGGUUGCUAUCUUGACCCCUUUUGAUCGGUUAAUGUAGUUUUUUCUUUUAAAAAAUAGGAGCAGAUUUUUUUUUUAAAAAAAAUAAGUUAGUAUGAAAUUUGUAUGCUAUUUCAGCCAUGACUCGUUGAUCCAGUAACUUGUUCUCUUCAUUUUUGAAUCUCAUGAUUGUUCUACUAUUGGCAUAACAUGUUGCGCUCGAGUUCAUGCUUCCGUGUGCUUAAAGAGUUGGCUUGUUGGUCAUGUCGUAUUCACCUCGAUUUUUUUUUUUUGUUGUUGUAUAAACUCUAUCAUGCCUAUGAUUGUUUUCAUCUAAAUUAAGUGGAUGGUUGGACUGAAUCCUCUGCUCGAACUUUGUUCGAGGCUCUCACUUGUUUUCUUAGAUGUUUCUUUAUUCAUGUCUUGUCUAAGGUUUAGCGUAAAUUUCGGAACGUAGCUUAAAACUUGUUUAAGUGUGCUAGUGAAAAUAAAAAAUGGUCAAUCUUUGAUUUAUCUACUUGACUUGAAGUUUUUGGUGGCCAUGGUUUCUUUUUCUCUUAAGGUAAGAAUUUGAGAUAUUUUCGAGUCGGUUAACUUUGUUUUAAAUCGGUCCAGUUGUGUUUGAUCUUGUUUGUCGGAUUGAUUAAAAUUGUCAUCAUGCCGAUUAGCUCGUUUAUGUAUAUUUAGUCACUAAGAUUAAAAUAUUUUGCCAACUUCUAUGGGUAUCUUAAAUAUACCAAGUGUUUGUUACUGUGGCAAUUCUGGAGCAUUUAGUUGAUUUUGUUUGUUUAAACUAAUAUGCUUGAAUUAUGUCUUCAUCUUAAAAAAAAAAAAAAAAAAAAAUAGUCCAUGUGAUCAGUUUAAGUAAAAUUGCUUUGUCAUGUGUUUAUUUUCUUUCAAGCAUAUUUAAGUGACCAGUUUGGGAAAGUGUCUCCUUUUGGUUCUCAUCGAUUUGUGCGAACGUGCUUACUGUUUCAGCACUUGUCAAUUUUUAUCUAUUUAUUUAUUUUAUGUUCCUACGUCAAAGAGUCCCCUUUUAGUGUGUCUAGAUUUCGGAUGUGCUAACUUCGAAAUGGUAGUUUCUUAUAUUGAGUUUACCUGUCAUCUAGUAGAUUUGUAUAUAUUAUUCUUUAUCCUAAUUCUUAUCGUCUUUCCUUGCAUGAACUCCCUUGAUUGAGUCUAUCGGACUCUACAUCUUCCUCUUGCAUUUCGAGAGAGCCGUAAAGGCCCAAAUUCCUUUAUUCGAGUCAACCAACUUAAAAAUUGACGAACAGGUCCCAGAGUUGAAAGAGUAUGAAGCAGAUCAGGAAUUCGAAAAGAUUGGGCCGAAGGCCCACUCUUAAUUUUAGAAAUUGUAUUUUGUUAUUUUGGGCCUAAGCCCACUUUUUGCUAUACUUGUUAGUUCUUAGGACAGGUGGAAAAAUUGGGCCAAAAGCCCAAAACGAAAAUGGGCCCAAGUAUUGGUCCAGGCGGAC
rnacentral:lncRNA from 1 species